AGGGUUGUAGUUAAAAUUAACAUUUAAUUUGCAAUUAAAAAGAGCUAUAAUUAUAGCCUGCCUUA
rnacentral:tRNA from 1 species